CAGCCGCCGCGGUAAUACAGAGGGUGCGAGCGUUAAUCGGAUUUACUGGGCGUAAAGCGUGCGUAGGCGGCUAAUUGAGUCGGAUGUGAAAUCCCCGAGCUUAACUUGGGAAUUGCAUUCGAUACUGGUUAGCUAGAGUGUGGGAGAGGAUGGUAGAAUUCCAGGUGUAGCGGUGAAAUGCGUAGAGAUCUGGAGGAAUACCGAUGGCGAAGGCGGCCAUCUGGCCUAACACUGACGCUGAGGUACGAAAGCAUGGGGAGCAAACAGGAUUAGAUACCCCCGUAGUCCCUGUCUCUUAUAC
rnacentral:rRNA from 1 species